GACGAACGCUGGCGGCGUGCUUAACACAUGCAAGUCGAGCGGUAAGGCCCUUUCGGGGGUACACGAGCGGCGAACGGGUGAGUAACACGUGGGUGACCUGCCCUCAGCUCUGGGAUAAGCCUGGGAAACCGGGUCUAAUACUGGAUAUGACUCCAUGACGCAUGUUGUAGGUGGAAAGCCUUGUGCGGCUGAGGAUGGGCCCGCGGCCUAUCAGCUUGUUGGUGGGGUGANGGCCUACCAAGGCGACGACGGGUAGCCGGCCUGAGAGGGCGACCGGCCACACUGGGACUGAGACACGGGCCCAGACUCCUACGGGAGGCAGCAGUGGGGAAUCUUGCGCAAUGGGCGAAAGCCUGACGCAGCGACGCCGCGUGAGGGAUGACGGCC
rnacentral:rRNA from 1 species